rnacentral:sRNA from 1 species
CAGAUGUAGACAGUGGAUUCUGUGCAUCUACGGAAGUUCCUGAAGUUCCUGGCCUGAAUAGAGACAGUGGGAUUGCAGAAAGGCAAGAGUAUCCUCUUGACGCCAAUGAGUUCAACGCUCUAAUUAUAGGGCCGCAACCAGAAAAACGAAAUGAGACGAACACUUUUAGUAACUGCUAGUCUCAGCGGAAUAGCUUCAGGCUUAUUUUAGUGCUGACAGCAUUUUUCUAUCAAUGACACAGACUCUUGAAGAGGAGGGUAAAGUCUCAAGGUUUAAUAGAUAUUGAGGAGAAAAAAUUAAAGCACCAAAGAGAUUUAAUAAAUCGGUAACUGCUUUAAAGUUUUUUAGCCACAUUAACAGAAAAGUGACGGGUCAACUCAUCUGUUCUGGUCAACUCAUUAUGUCAAUUGUUCACGUGACUAUGUUGGCAGGAAUGUUCUUUCAAAGAGACAAUGUGAAGCUUCUAUCUGGUGUGUUUUUUUAAGUGGUUGUAUUAGAUAAAGUGAUUCAUUCUAAAUGAUCUUCAAUUUAUUGAUUCAUAUUAUAAGAUCUUCUGUAUUAUUUCAUUUACAUCUUCAGUUUAUUCAUUUGUUGUAUAAGAUCUACAGUUUAUUAAUUCAUUUAUAUUAAUUCAUUUAUAUGAUUUUUCAGUUUGAUUGAUUUUACAGUUUAUUUAUAUGUUCUAAAGAUUAUCUUUUUUUUCUAUUAAAUCUAUCAAGUAAGGCUUAAUUUACUUUAAAUGUGAUCUGUUUCUUUUAAUUCAAUAUAAUCUUAUGUUGUUGUUGUUUUCCUAUAAUAUUAUUAAGUGUAGAGUAUUGGAGCGACACUGUAAUUUGAUAUUUAUUUAUUUUGACCUAAAAUGGAUAGAUCUUAACAUGAAGACUUUAAGAAAAGUAUAUACAUAUAAAUAAUUGGAACAAUACAAAAUAUUGAAACAGAAAUCUGGAUUUAACGUCAAUAAUUAACAAACUAUAAAGCAUGGCUCCUAACAUAUCUUAGUUUCAUACAACAUUUAAAAGUUUGGAAUCUCGCUUUUACCUACUCUUCAUUAGCGGAGCUAACAUGGUAACCAGCUCAGCGAUGCUACAUUACCUGGUAUUAUGUUAUCCAGCCCAAUUAGGCUACGUUACCUGCUAUCAUUUUAUCCAGCCCAAUUAGGCUACGUUACCUGGUAUCAUUUUAUCCAGCCCAAUUAGGCUACGUUACCUGCUAUCAUUUUAUCCAGCCCAAUUAGGCUACGUUACCUGCUAUCAUUUUAUCCAGCCCAAUUAGGCUACGUUACCUGGUAUCAUUUUAUCCAGCCAAAUUAGGCUACGUUACCUGGUAUCAUUUUAUCCAGCCCAAUUAGGCUACGUUACCUGAUAUCAUGGU